GCCGGCGUAGCUCAGUUGGAAGAGCAACUGACUUGUAAUCAGUAGGUCAUGGGUUCGACUCCCAUCGCCGGCU
rnacentral:tRNA from 1 species